rnacentral:rRNA from 1 species
AGUGAACGCUGGCGGUAGGCCUAACACAUGCAAGUCGAACGGCAGCACAGUAAGAGCUUGCUCUUACGGGUGGCGAGUGGCGGACGGGUGAGGAAUACAUCGGAAUCUACUUUUUCGUGGGGGAUAACGUAGGGAAACUUACGCUAAUACCGCAUACGACCUACGGGUGAAAGCAGGGGAUCUUCGGACCUUGCGCGAGUGAAUGAGCCGAUGUCGGAUUAGCUAGUUGGCGGGGUAAAGGCCCACCAAGGCGACGAUCCGCAGCUGGUCUGAGAGGAUGAUCAGCCCCACUGGAACUGAGACACGGUCCAGACUCCUACGGGAGGCAGCAGUGGGGAAUAUUGGACAAUGGGCGCAAGCCUGAUCCAGCCAUACCGCGUGGGUGAAGAAGGCCUUCGGGUUGUAAAGCCCUUUUGUUGGGAAAGAAAAGCAGCAGGUUAAUACCCCGCUGUUCUGACGGUACCCAAAGAAUAAGCACCGGCUAACUUCGUG